UACGGGGGGGGCAAGCGUUGUUCGGAAUUACUGGGCGUAAAGGGCCAGUAGGCGGCCAACUAAGUCCGACGUGAAAUCCCCAGGCUUAACCUGGGAACUGCGUCGGAUACUGGAUGGCUUGAAUUCGGGAGAGGGAUGCAGAAUUCCAGGUGUAGCGGUGAAAUGCGUAGAUAUCUGGAGGAAUACCGGUGGCGAAGGCGGCAUCCUGGACCGACACUGACGCUGAGGCGCGAAAGCUAGGGGAGCAAACGGG
rnacentral:rRNA from 1 species